CCCCAGACUGCUUUGGAAUUCUUCCUGCCCUUGCAACGUCUGUUUCUUUGAAGGUGCACCUUUGGACCAAAGCCGUUGGUUUCUUCCAAAUCCAUCCGGUGAACCUGCCCCCACCUCCCGUAAACAAAGAAAAAGCCAGGGACUGACCCCAAGGUAUGAGAAAAAUUUGUGGGGGCUUCUGGUUUCGCUUUCUCAGCGUGUAUCCCUGAUUUUUUUUUUUUUUUUUUUUUUGGUGACCUCUAACCCUCAACUUUGCAAUCCCUCUUUCUCCCGCUGUCUGCAGUUUCUAGGAGCAGCAGUGAGGUUGACAUAUUUCAGACAAAUCGCAGCAGCCAACUUCCUGUCCGGCCCCUUUUCCACGGAGAAACCCUCCCUCCACCCUUCCCGGGUCCAGGUGAAGAGAUUAAAACUCUACACGAGCCCCUACAUGGAAUGCUCAGCUGGGCGACAUUUUUUAAUAUUGCAUUACACUAUGAAUUUCUCUCUGUCCCCACGGAAACAUACCUCUAGUUCGGUGGAACGUGCCCAGCCCUUCUAUCUUGAACAGAAGAUCACAGUAUUUAAUGCUAAUUUCCUUGGGAUGGUGCUUACAAUACACCAGGUGAGGUUUUCAUAAUAUACUGUUACAAUACAGAUGUUAAACAGAGAAGGGGAAGUGUGCAAAUCCCAAACUGCAAGAGACAGCAGGGUUAUCAUCUUUAUAAAAGUUUCAGCACAAAAUACUAUCCGAACACUGAGGAGGAGCCGCUCAGCAGUUUCCCGCUGCCAGGAAGAGAAAUUCACAUGUUGAGGCGGUCCC
rnacentral:lncRNA from 9 species